CCUGGAUGGUACGUGUUACUCACUGAGUAAAGAGAGUUAUCUUUAUCAGUGUGUUACUUUCAUAUAUCUGUUGUGGGUAAAUCCAGCUCUAGAAGAGAGACUGAUUCAGAUACUUCAUUCAGGAAGUAAAUGUCACCCUAAUCUUCAAAAGGGCAAGAAAGAGGACCAAGGAAACUACAGGAGAGUCAGAAUGAAGUGGCAGAGAUACAUCAGCUCUCUUCUCAUCCUAAUUUCCUGAAUGACUGAACUCUGGGCUUGAACUCGAUUGAAGGAUGACCAACAAGCAAGAAUAAACAAUAAAAACUUAUGACUCCCUAAUUUCUGUAGCUAUCGAAAAAUAUCUCUAAGCCAGGAACUGAUUUAUCUUGCCGGUACAUAUCUCAAAAGACGUUCUGUCACAACACAGAUGUUUCAGGUCAUGACACACAGACCUUACACCUCCACAGAUUGUGUCCUUCUGCUAUUCCUCAGUAAAGUAAAGGUGAGAAAUUUUUGCACUGUUGGG
ensembl:lncRNA